UACAGAGGUCUCAAGCGUUGUUCGGAUUCAUUGGGCGUAAAGGGUGCGUAGGUGGCGUCGUAAGUCAGGUGUGAAAUCUCGGGGCUUAACUCCGAAACUGCAUUUGAUACUGCGGUGCUUGAGGACUGGAGAGGAGACUGGAAUUUACGGUGUAGCGGUGAAAUGCGUAGAUAUCGUAAGGAAGACCAGUGGCGAAGGCGGGUCUCUGGACAGUUCCUGACGCUGAGGCACGAAGGCCAGGGGAGCAAACGGG
rnacentral:rRNA from 1 species